AUCUGACUGAAAGGUGAUGUCAUGUAAGGUGAGGUAACUUGAGGUUCUCUGAAGUAGGAGGUCUAGUGAGAGGACUGGAGGAUAGAGUGACAAUUGCAGACUAUGUAAAGUAUGUAGAGGGGUUUUAAACCUCACCAUUGAGUUUACACACACGCACACACAGGCACGCACACACACACACAACAGUGCAUUUGCCUUUCUCAGAAUGUGAUUCAGACAUUGAUUGAUCAAUCGAUUGAUUCUUUUCACAGAAUUUCCACAUGUUGACCAAAGACCUAAGUUCCAGUAGCCAACAUAAGUUCAGACUCAGAGGGCCACUUUGAAACCCCAGAGGCUCAGAGCCCUGUCCAUGCUCCACUCCAAGUCCCAGAAGAGCUGGAGACCUUCACCACUGACAGAGCAGAUGCCCUGGAGGAGGAGGAUGAACAGCUGAUAGUGUCUGGCCCAGCCAGAGAUCCAGCUCCUA
rnacentral:lncRNA from 1 species